AGUUCGGAUUGAAGGCUGAAAUUACGCCUUCCAUGAAGCUGGAAUUGCUAGUAAUGGCAGGUCAGCAUACUGCCGUGAAUACGUUCCCGGGCCUUGUACACACCGCCCGUCACACCAUGAGAGUUGGGAAUACCCGAAGCCUGUGAGCUAACUUAUAGAGGCAGCAGUCGAAGGUAGAAUCAAUGAUUGGGGUGAAGUCGUAACAAGGUAAC
rnacentral:rRNA from 1 species